rnacentral:rRNA from 1 species
UACGUAGGGUCCGAGCGUUGUCCGGAAUUAUUGGGCGUAAAGGGCUCGUAGGCGGUUUGUCGCGUCGGGAGUGAAGACACCGGGCUUAACUCGGUGCUUGCUUUCGAUACGGGCAGACUGGAGGUAUGCAGGGGAGAACGGAAUUCCUGGUGUAGCGGUGAAAUGCGCAGAUAUCAGGAGGAACACCGGUGGCGAAGGCGGUUCUCUGGGCAUUACCUGACGCUGAGGAGCGAAAGUGUGGGGAGCGAACAGG